AGCUGCUUCUUCCUGGUCACUGCUGAAGAGCUGAAGUACUUGGUGGAACUGGCAGCUGACAGCUUCAGCAGAGCUGGGCGGCUCUCACCCCUCUAGAAGCAUUCAUGAGAGGGAAAACUACAAGCUGGAAAACCCCAAUUUUUCUUUGCUUUUAAUUUUCCACUUCCCUCUAUUUUUGUUACAACUUCUUUGUUCCAAUAUGCAUCCCCUCAUGGCUUUUCUGCUGUGAUUGUACUUUUAUGCCCAUAAUAUCUUCAAAGUCUCAGUUACAUCUGCAUGUGCCAGGGCAACAUAUUCAGAGAAGUCUCUGACAACAGCAAGAAGAUCUUAGAUAGUCUCUGGUGGGUUUUUGUUCAGUAUUUUUCAGCCUGUUUAGAGCAAUGUCACUGCUUCAGAGGCUGCACUAAGUUGUUUCAGAGCUCCCACAAUUCCUUAGCCAGGUAUUUAACAACAAAAUGUUUUCUCAACUGGAUGGGAAGUCAGUGAAACUGGAGAUGGCAGAGGUGGCCAUAGUCAGCCUCAAUGACACACUUAUAGUCUGAUUUCACAUGGGACAAGGGCACAGAAGUCUGAAAUGUGACUCUCCAUCUCCUGAAUGUAAUACAUUCCAGUUCUGGCCCAGCAAAUGGCAAUUGACAAACACGAAGCACACCAAGUGUAAAAACACAGAAUAUACUCAGAAGUUCUACAGCUCAUCUUGCCUCCAAUCAUGCAUUUGUGCUACUUCAGUAUGAUAAAUGAAUGUUCAGUCUGCGUUUGCAAUGACAUUUAUGACUGUCAAAAAUUGUCAUCCUUUCU